ensembl:lncRNA
CAAUAACUGGAGAAAAGGGAGCUCUGAUUUCUGCUUGGCUGUCAAGGGUCCAGACUCAGAGGAUUUUCUGCAUUGGAGCCUCAUUCUGUUUAUUGGAACCCCUUGCUAUCAUCAUGGACCCCAACCUUUCCUCACUGUUCUGCCUCCAAGGGCAAUUGUCUCCUUGGGGUGGAUGCCUGAAGUAGAGGAAGAAGUGAGCCAUUUCCAUGAAGUGGGCUAAGAAUAUUCUCACUUUACCAGUGUGCUGAACCCAGUUUCUGAAAAUGCUACAUUCACGGGACACUCGUCUCCCUUUCACCUUCAUGAAUUCUGGCCACUCGGAUUCCCGUCACAGGUCCUGGACACGCACUCUGCCAGGAGUCCAGCUCCUGGAGUGGUUGCCAUUCUGGUCAAGAGUAUCCGGGAUCCAACUAGUACAGAACUACC